rnacentral:rRNA from 1 species
AACGAACGCUGGCGGCGUGCCUAACACAUGCAAGUCGAACGAGAAAGGGGCUUCGGCUCCGAGUAAAGUGGCGCACGGGUGAGUAACACGUGGGUAACCUGCCUCUAAGAUUGGGAUAACUCGUCGAAAGAUGAGCUAAUACCGAAUAAGACCACAGUUCCCGCGGGAACAGGGGUCAAAGGUAGCCUCUGCUUGCAAGCUAUCACUUAGAGAUGGGCCUGCGCACCAUUAGCUAGUUGGUAGGGUAACGGCCUACCAAGGCAAAGAUGGUUAGCUGGUCUGAGAGGAUGAUCAGCCACACUGGAACUGAGACACGGUCCAGACUCCUACGGGAGGCAGCAGUGGGGUAUAUUGCGCAAUGGGCGAAAGCUUGACGCAGCAACGCCGCGUGAGUGAUGAAGGCCUUCGGGUCGUAAAGCUCUGUCGGGAGGAACGAAUGCUCCUGAGGUUAACAGCCUCGGGAGGUGACGGUACCUUCAAAGGAAGCACCGGCUAACUCUGUG